rnacentral:rRNA from 1 species
ACGGAAGGCAGCAGUGGGGAAUAUUGCACAAUGGGGGAAACCCUGAUGCAGCGACGCCGCGUGAAGGAUUUACGUAUUUCGGUAUGUAAACUUCUAUCAGCAGGGAAGAUAAUGACGGUACCUGACUAAGAAGCCCCGGCUAACUACGUGCCAGCAGCCGCGGUAAUACGUAGGGGGCAAGCGUUAUCCGGAUUUACUGGGUGUAAAGGGAGCGUAGGCGGCUGAGUAAGUCAGAAGUGAAAGCCCGGGGCUCAACCCCGGGACGGCUUUUGAAACUGCCCGGCGUGAUUUCAGGAGAGGAAAGCGGAAUUCCUAGUGUAGCGGUGAAAUGCGUAGAUAUGAGGAGGAACACCAGUGGCGAAGACGGCUUUCUGGACUGACAAUGACGCUGAGGCUCGAAAGCGUGGGGAGCAAACAGGAUUAGAUACCCUGGUA